rnacentral:rRNA from 1 species
UACGGAGGGUGCAAGCGUUAAUCGGAAUUACUGGGCGUAAAGCGUGCGCAGGCGGUUUGUUAAGUCCGUUGUGAAAGCCCCGAGCUCAACUUGGGAAUUGCAGUGGAUACUGGCAGGCUGGAGUACGGUAGAGGGGGAUGGAAUUCCGCGUGUAGCAGUGAAAUGCGUAGAUAUGCGGAGGAACACCGAUGGCGAAGGCAAUCCCCUGGACCUGUACUGACGCUCAUGCACGAAAGCGUGGGGAGCAAACAGG